ACGAACGCUGGCGGCGUGGAUAAGACAUGCAAGUCGAGCGCUCAUUCGGUUGCAGCAAUGUAGCCGAGUGGGAGCGGCGCAAGGGUGCGUAACACGUGGGUAAUUUGCCAAAAAGUUUGGGAUAACUCGCUGAAAGGCGAGCUAAUACCGGAUGUGAUCAUCGGGCGGCAUCGUUUGAUGAUUAAAGUUGGGGACCGUAAGGCCUGACGCUUUUUGAUAAGCCCGCGGCCUAUCAGCUAGUUGGUGAGGUAACGGCUCACCAAGGCUAAGACGGGUAGCUGGUCUGAGAGGACGA
rnacentral:rRNA from 1 species